UUUUAGUCUGAAUCUGAUGAAGCAAUUUGGAAUGCUGAAUUAUUGUGCCUGAUCCAAAUGAAUAAGGUGUAAUGACUCGUCUUUUCAAUUACUGAAACUGGAGAUGUUUGAAUUUACUUGGUCACUUGUAUGGUAAAAUAGCAGCGUUGUCAUAUACUGUUUAUGACUUCAUUUGAGCGCCGUGGAGGAAUAUGGGAUAUCCAUGGAGGAUUGGAGUUUGCAGUUUGCUUUGUUUUUCCUUCCUUAGAUGUUACAUUGCAAACAUAGUGGCAGGAUAACCUUAUAUUCAAACUAAAUAUGUUGUACAUGUUCGGUAGCAGAGUUCAAGUUAGAUCAUGAUAGUGCAGUGGCGUUUUUUUGCUGAUGCUUAAGUUCAGUAUUACCUAGAUGAAGAUCUAUCUUUGUUUGCCAAAAUGGGUUAGCAGCUUCACAGUGUCUUUGACUUGUCUCUAAAGGGGCAGCAGUUUCAUCCAUUAAUUGAGAUUAGUUAGAUGGCAGGAGAUGUGUUGAAAAGGAUAGUUCUUUGAAGUAAAAAAAAACCCGUAAGAUUUAUAGUUUUGAGCAGAUUGGUGUUGUGCAUGUCAUGUCUGCAAUUGCGCUUUGCCACUCCAGACCGUUGUAGUUUGGUACUUAGGUCCUGAACAGCCUUACCUGAACUGAUAAAACUUGAAUACAAUAUAACUGCUAGGCAGUGUACCUGAAAUCUGAUCUUUUUAACCCCUUUUUUGCUCAUUAGUUACAAUUCUUGGCUCCAAACCCAUUGCUUUGCACUCUUGGCAUGUCAUGUACUUGUGUGUGAUUAAAUACGUUCAGACUUGUUCACGCAAGCAGAGGGUGGGGGUGGGGGUAAUGAUAGCUAGUUGGAUCUGCCAUCUUAUUUGCAGCAUAUCGCUUGUUUCUCAACUGUUGUAAUAUUACUCUGGCCACCGCAACGAUGCUGCAUGUCAUUUGUUGGGUGUUUUCAUCUGUUAUUUGCGAAUGAGGUUUUCCCUUUGCACCUAUCUGGAAUCAGUAGUGUAGAAGUGUUGUUUAGGCCCUGUUGGUGGAGCUCUGGCUAGCUCCUCCCUGCACUAUAGGAGGAAGCUAUUUUGGUAUCCUAUCAUGAAACUGGUAUAUGCAAGUAUGUAACAUAGAUGGCUUUUGGUAUCCUAUCAGCUUGCCUUUGUUUAACCGAGGUUUGCUAGGAUACGGUAAUUAUUUUGGAUCCUUAGUAUAUAUCAUCUGAACUUAUUCACUUCCAGGUCUCAAUUCUGUGUGCAACCAAACUACAGAAUUUAGGAAAGGUUAUUCCAAUUCCCAAUUAUGUGUUCCAAUAUCGACAUCCAAACGGGCUAUUACUGGUAGGGCCAUAAACAGUAAAUUUUUUUAGUUUUGUAGUUUUUAAGCACAUUCUGACCAUUAUUUUCAUCUAAUAUGGAACUGUUCAUCAAUAUAAUCAAUAUAUAGGUACACCCGUUGUAGCUAUUUGCUGUUAGAAUACCCGUUUAGGGUUUGGAGUCUUCCUCGUGUAAUGACCUUCUCACCCCUCUGUAAUGGGCCUGGCCCAGUUCACUCAGUCUAUUAAUAUAUCACCCAACCCCUGUUAGGGUUAUGGGUUCACAUUCCAAUAUGGUAUCAGAUUAGGUUUUUUUUCCAGCCUCCUCCCUCCCAGCCGCCGGCUUCCCCUCUCCCCUCUCCUUCCCAGCCGUCGGACUCCCUCCCCCAUCCCCACCGCGCGGGCUCUGCCCUCCAUCCGCCCAGCCAUCCCUGCGGCUCCGGCCGAGGCCGUCCCCGGCAGCCACGGCCACCGUCCAGGCGGAGCACCAGCCCGCGGCGCCAAAGCCACCCGCGCUACCGUUCCGCGUGGGCCACGGCUUCGACCUCCACCGCCUGGAGUCCGACCUCCCGCUCAUCAUCGGCGGCAUCAACAUCCCCCACGUCCGCGACUGCGCGGCUCACUCUGACUUCGACGUGCUGCUGCACUGCGUGGUGGACGCGAUUCUCGGCGCGCUGGGGCUUCCAGCCACCGGCCUUCAACCCGCCGUUGGCCAACUCCUGUCUGCGCCGGCCGCCUCCCUCUGCUCCUACCGGACCGCGCACCUGUGCCGUCUUCUCCAGCCGUCAGUGCCGUGCGCGCCCCGUCCUGUCGCGCCCGUGCCGCCGGACCCCCUCCCGUCGCGCCUGCCCCGAUCUGUCUCCUUCCGCGCCAGCGCCACCGGAUCCGUCCCGGCCGGCUUCUCCCUGCCACCUCCUCUUCACUUGUCGUCUGGCGCUGUCGGCCCCAACUCCCAGCCAAACCGCCCGACUCGUUCCUACUGGCAGCGUGCGCCCUUCUGGACGGCCAAUUCCUCGCUACUCGCGCAGCUGCGCCUCUCCUACCAGUGUUGUCCCCACCCCCACCCAUUCCAUGGCGUCACCCCCGCUGUACAUGAGCUUUCCCUCGCCCGUCGCUCCUGUAACUGUGCGUGCCCUCCUCCACAACGACCAGCUCAUCCGGGGCCUGUUCGUGUCCUUCGAUCCUGUCUGGAACCUUAUUCUCCAGGACUGCGUCGAGAUCCACCCUCAGGCGGGCCGUCACGUGCCUGGACCGCUAGUCUUCCCGUGUGCUGCAAUCGCCUCCCUAGCGGUUGAGCCCGUGUCAUCUCCCUCCCUCCCUAGCACCUAUAUCGGGGCACCUUCUUUAGCCCUCUCCGCUCACACCGUACCUUCGCCACCACCACCUCCUCCUCCCUCCACCGAUUGGGUGGUUGACUCCGGGGCCUCCUUCCACACUACCCCCACAACUAGUUCGUUACUCCACUCCCAUCCACCGCACCCCUCACAUCCUUCCUCCAUCGUCGUUGGCAACGGUUCCACCCUCCCGGUCACCUCAGUAGGUGCAUCGGUUCUUCCAGGACAAUUCUGCCUUAACGACGUCCUUGUUGCUCCUGGACUGACUCAUCCCCUCCUCUCGGUUCGUCGCUUCACUAGUGACAACCAGUGCUCUAUGGAGUUCGACCCCUGGGGUCUCACCAUACACCACCUUCCCACACGUGCUGUGCUCGCUCGCUGUGAUAGCUCCGGCCCCCUCUACUCCCUUCAAUUGCCCACCACUCCCCACACCAGAAUAGCCUCAUCUCCUGCCCUUACUACUACCACCACAUCACAUGCUCUUACUACUACCACCACCUCCUCCGCCAUUUGGCACCGUCGCCUCGGGCACCCUGGACCUGACGUCAUGUCCCAGCUUGCCGGCCACUCUAACAUAUCCUAUACUCGGGGCUCCUCUGAGCACCUCUGUCAUGCUUGUCAGCUUGGCCGUCACUCCCGCCUUCCUUUUUCCACUUCCACGUCCAGGGCUGUCCAGGCCUUUGAUCUUGUCCACUGUGAUCUCUGGACGUCUCCUGUCCUUAGCCUCUCCGGCUACAAAUACUACCUGGUCAUUCUGGACGACUACUCCCAUUUCCUUUGGACUUUCCCCCUUCGGCUGAAGUCCGACACGUUUACCACCCUCACUCACUUCUUCGCCUGGGUAUCCACCCAGUUUCGGCGCCCGGUCCGUGCCCUGCAGUGCGACAAUGGCCGCGAGUUCGACAACAACGCCUCUCGUUCUUUCUUCCUCACUCACGGCGUCCAGUUGCGUCUCUCGUGUCCCUACACCUCUGCUCAGAACGGCCGGGCCGAGCGCAUGAUUCGCACCACCACCAACAUGAUCCGCUGCCUUCUCUUUCAGGCGUCUCUCCCUGCCACCUACUGGGCAGAGGCCCUUCAUACUGCCACUCAUCUCCUCAACCGUCUUCCCUCGAAGGCGGUGAGCCACCCUACACCUCACUUUGCCCUGUACGGCACAGCCCCUUCCUACGACCACCUGCGCGUGUUCGGCUGUGCCUGCUACCCUAACAUUUCCGCUACUGCCCCCAACAAGCUUUCUCCUCGCUCCACUCGCUGCCUAUUCCUCGGCUACUCCCCUGACCACAAGGGGUAUCGGUGCCUGGACCUCACCUCCCACCGCAUCAUCAUCUCUCGUCAUGUCGUCUUCGACGAAGAUGUGUUUCCCCUUGCCGGCUCCACCCCACCCACCGACCUCGACUCACUCCUCGAGUCUGAUCCGGUUCCCCUCCCACCCCCGGCGCCCCGCCUUGCGCCGUUACCCGUACCUCGUGCGGCCACGACGCCUCCACUCGCGCCCACUACCACGCCACGCGCGGCCCCGACGACCCCGCCUGCGCCACGCGCGGCCUCGUCGCUCACGCCUGCGCCCCGCGCGGCCCCGACGACCCCGCCUGCGCCACGCGCGGCCCCGACGACCCCGCCUGCGCCACGCGCGGCCCCGUCGAUCACGCCUGCGCCACGCGCGGCCCCGUCGACCCCAACUCGCUUCGCCGACCCCGCGCUCGUCUACCACCGUCGCAGCCAUGCCGCCACCUCGGCGCCUGCCGACUCGGGCCCGUCGACGAGCACGGCCCGCUUUGCCGACCCUGCCGUCGUCUACCACCGCCGCGAGCCGGUCACACCCGCCGCUCCCGACGUUCCGGCGGCCCGCCCCGAGUCGUCAGUGUACCACCCGGUCGCCAUCCACCGCGACCCCGGGCACGUCCACCCGAUGGUGACUCGGCGCGCCGCUGGCGUUCUUCGCCCCGUCGACCGGCUGGUCCUCGCAGCGGAUACGACCUGCACUCCUCCGGACGCAUCCCCUGUGCCCUCCUCCGUACGCGCUGCCCUCGCCGACCCACAUUGGCGUCGUGCUAUGGAGGAGGAGUACGCGGCCCUCUUGGCCAACCACACCUGGGACCUGGUGCCGCGUCCACCAGGCACCAACGUGGUCACCGGCAAGUGGCUAUUUCGCCACAAGCUGACCUCGGACGGCUCCCUCGACCGCUACAAGGCCCGUUGGGUCCUUCGGGGCUUCACCCAGCGCCCCGGAGUGGACUACGACGAGACCUUCAGCCCCGUCGUCAAGUUCGCCACUGUUCGCGCCGUCCUCUCCCUCGCCCUCUCCCGCGACUGGGCGAUCCACCAGCUCGACGUCAAGAAUGCCUUCCUCCAUGGCACUCUGACGGAGACUGUCUACUGCACCCAGCCCACCGGCUUUGUCGACGCUGACCGUCCGGAUCUGGUCUGCCGGCUGAACCGGUCCCUGUACGGCCUCAAGCAGGCGCCCCGGGCAUGGUACAGUCGCUUCGCCUCCUACCUGGCCUCCAUCGGCUUCGUCGAGGCCAAGUCGGACACGUCCCUGUUCAUCUACCGGCGCGGCGACGACACCGUCUACCUCCUGCUCUAUGUCGACGACAUUGUGCUCACGGCAUCCACCGCCGACCUUCUUCACCGCACGAUCGUCGCCCUUCAGCGGGAAUUCGCCAUGAAGGACCUGGGGCCCCUACACCACUUCCUCGGCAUCACCGCCGAACGCCGGCCUCAGGGUCUCUUCCUCCACCAGCGCCAGUACGCCAUCGACAUCCUGGAGCGGGCUGGCAUGUCUGACUGCAAGCCUUGCUCCACGCCUGUCGACACCCAGGCGAAGCUCCCUGAGGACGACGGGCCUCCGGUCGCCGACGCGACGUCCUACCGGAGCCUGACCGGCGCGCUCCAGUACCUCACCUUCUCCAGGCCCGACAUCGCAUACGCCGUCCAGCAGGUGUGUUUGCAUAUGCACACCCCGCGGGAGCCCCAUCUCACCGCGCUCAAGCGGAUUCUGCGCUACCUCCGCGGCUCGCUCGACUACGGCCUCCUCCUCCGACCAUCCCCGACGUCGGAGCUCGUGGUCUACACCGACGCUGACUGGGCUGGCUGUCCCGACACGCGCCGGUCCACCUCCGGUUACGCCGUGUUCCUGGGCGCCAACCUCGUCUCUUGGGCCGCCAAGCGUCAGCCCGUCGUCUCUCGCUCCAGCGCUGAGGCCGAGUACCGUGCCGUGGCCAACGGCGUGGCAGAGGCCUCCUGGCUGCGCCAGCUCCUCCACGAGCUCCACAGUCCCCUCCAGCGUGCCACCCUCGUCUACUGUGACAACGUCAGCGCGGUCUACCUCUCCACCAACCCCGUGCAGCAUCAGCGCACGAAACACGUGGAGAUCGACCUGCACUUCGUCCGCGAACGUGUCGCUGCCGGUGACGUUCGGGUUCUCAGCGUCCCCACCACGCUGCAGUUCGCCGACAUCUUCACCAAGGGGUUACCGUCGAGUGUAUUUUUAGACUUUCGAUCCAGUCUCAACAUCUGUACAGGAUAGAGUUGUGACUGCGGGGGGGUGUUAGAAUACCCGUUUAGGGUUUGGAGUCUUCCUCGUGUAAUGACCUUCUCACCCCUCUGUAAUGGGCCUGGCCCAGUUCACUCAGUCUAUUAAUAUAUCACCCAACCCCUGUUAGGGUUAUGGGUUCACAUUCCAAUAUUUGCGGCUGCAAAAGGCAAACCGAGAUGUACUUAGUUAUGGAAGCAGCUACAGCCACAACAAAAAAUAUUGCCUAUCUAGCUGAUCAUUUUCUGUUACUUAAUUACAUGGGGUUUUCCUUACGUUUGUUUUUGAAUUUGCUGAAACUGGGUUUAACCUUGCUCCAUUUCCUGCCUCCAAAGUAUGGAUUACCUUUUGGCGUUUUCAUCAAACUUAAACUUGGUGAAGCCUGUGCUGUGCCAAAGCAUAUCCAGUGCUAUGCUACUAGGCUGCUAGUAACCUGUAGCAUCUACUAGACUUGCUUUCCAGUUAAAUGAUGACUAUUUUGGAUCAUAACAUGUUAUUACUUUUUUUUUUCAAAUUUCGUGCUGGAAGUAUUUUUCAUAACUUAUAAGUAGAUGUCAUUUAACUACUCUUGCUUAAAGUAGCUUCUUAUAUGACCUGCCAUUUUGUUAUUGGUUUCUGAAACCAAUUUAAGAAACAAAAUACUUGUCUGAUUUGCAGCACAGUGUUGCAUGUGUUUAGGGGUGAUAAUGGAUCCAAAUGUUUCUUCACAAUUACUUAGAGCUCUAAAAAUAUAUUAGUUCAAAAAAAAAUAGAGCUCAAUCCUAAUUCGAUCCGAUUCUUAAAUUUUCUAGUGUAAAAUUUAGAGCUCGUUGUUACCCCUACGUGCUUUUGAGUUCAUCUGCAUCAUAACGCAGCACUUAGAACUACCACAAGUGUCGGUUUGUAUUUUUCUAACUAUGUUUAUUAGUAUGGAAAAAAGGGUUGUGCAAUCAAGUGUUCCGUGCAAUCAAAAUACUAAAAGUAUGAAAGUUCUUAAAAUGAUAAAUAUACUUUAUUAUUUACUCUAUUCACAUAUUAAGAUUUAAAUUCUAUUUUAUUUUAUUUUAAAAGAUAUAAAAGGAGAAAAAUCUAUUAUUUUUUAUUCUUCAUAUUGGAUAGAAUUUUCUCUUUUUAUAUACAGAAUUUUCUUUUUUUAUAUCUCUUAAUAUAUGAUUAGCUAGAACUUAAAUUUUGAUAUGUUGUUAGAGUAAAUAAUAACGUGUAUCUAUAAACUUUUUUGUGAUUUUGGUAUGGUGCAAAAUGUUGAUCUAUAAAAAUACUAUAUGUUUAGUUGAUAAUGUGCGGAAAUACGUAUAUUAUGUUGGAUUUGUGGCCAUACAAUAAAGGAUAGGGAUCGAGUUUGGAACAAUGAUUUAAUAAGUUAGGAAUAACAUCAAUUGAAGAAAAGAUUGUUUAACAUCGAUUAAGAUGGUUGAGAUAUGUUCAACGAAUACCUUUAGAGCCACUAGUGCGUAGUAGAAUUCUAAGAUGUGCUAACAACAGGAAGAUAGGCAGAGGAAGACUAACGUUGAUACAAGAAGAGACAGUAUAGGGAGACUCCAAAGAUUUAGCCUUAAUAAGAUUGUAUGAACCUAAACUUUCGUUUUUGUUGGGUUUUAAUUAGCAUGCCUUUUUUACUAGGAAAACUGUAGGGGAAGCCCUUACAACAUAAAAUUUUAUUAAACAGAAACAAAACUGUAUAGAGCAUGAAGAAAGAACCAGCUAGAAGAGAAAAAGGAAAAGAAAAAAUAUAAAGAGUUAUACCAAAAGGAUAUCUUCAGUCUAAGAUCAGGGCACAAUCUAACCAACUGUAGCUUGAACAUGCCAUUGAAGCAGUGCUUCCAAGAAGAGAGCGAGGACCGAGGAAACAGAUUCUCUAAAGAUAGUAGCAUUCCUUUAUUUCCAGAUUUCCUAAGCCGAAACAAACAGAAAGAUUUCCAUGAAGAACUUUCUAAGUGAUCCCUUGUCGAUGCGACCAUUGAGAAGAAAUCCAAAAAGUGAUCCCAAUGAAUGUCCAUGUAAUUCCAGCAAUCUGUGCUAAAAGGGCAAAGGUUUUAACUAGCCUACCUUAACAACUAUUUUGUAUUUAAUCCUUUCCACUUAAAAGUUAGUAGCUAUUUUACAUUUAACCCCUUCCACAUAAAAGUCAUUGUUGGAUUUUGAUUGGAUGCACCCGAUCGCUUGAUAUCAACAUGUCUGAUAGCUCAUGAUAAGUUAUUUUGCUUGAGAUUAAAAUUCUUUGUUAUUUAGUAGUUUGAUUGUACUGUUGUUUAAUUGUACAAUAAUUUGUAUCUAUUAUUAUUGGUUUACAAUUGGCCAAUUUAUACAUAGAGUAUUCUAAAAAGGUCCGCUCACAGUUAGAAUGAAAUGUGUUGCCAUUUUUGGGCAAUUGGACCAAUAACAAAAGCAUCAUCUCAGACUUUCAUGGUAUUUGUGGUCCAGAAAAAACAUGUUAUAGAAAACAAGGAAGGGUUGGGCUAAGAUGACCCUAAUAUUUGCAACCUCAACUAACAUUGUGCACCUCUUUAUGGCUUGUUCGGUUAUUUCCGUUCUAUAUGAAUUGGAGGGGAUUAGUAUGGAUUGGAAGGGAUUUUGACUUACUAGGGAUUAAAAUCGACUCAAUCCUCUUCAAUCCAGAUGGAUUGGGGUUAAGCCGAACAUGCCCUUACCUAGCUCACUCCCACCUCCAUCACCAAACUCAAGGUGCAAACAUCAUCUCCAGUUCCAACUACUCUAACUCUUCCUAUUCGGCUCGUCUAAUUGGCACAUGGAUCGGAUCAAAAUUGCUUUGAUGGUUAUGUUUGCACCACUUUCUUUGAGUUGAACGGGUCGAUUUUGUAAAGAAUCUGACAACACCGAGGCUUUAGAUUCAACUUGGCCGAUGCUAGGCUAUUCAAAAUUGAGCCUGAACGAUGUGAAGCUGUUUUUUUCUCGGGGACAUCUAUUAGACUUAGACUUGCUAAUAUAACAUCUAGGCUUGUCUCGAAGCAUAUUCGUUCACUGCAUCCUCUCCUUCAUUCACAAACGCGCAUCGUUGCUCUCAGAGAUGAAGCUAGGUUAUUUUUAAGGGUGCAGAUGUACCUAAAAAUAGAAAUUUUGUAGAUUUAGUUAAAAUUUCAUCAUAUACACAUCUCUGGAAAAAAAUAUAAUGGACUGGUUACUCUGUUUUGUACCUCACGCCUAACAACACUGCCAUGCAUGUGUGGCUUUUGUUCACCCGUCACGUGGUAGGAAGUGCAAGUUACAACGACGAUCUGGUAGUGCAAGCAAGGUACGUGAAAAACUACUACCUCGCCAACUUAGUCCUAGGUCCCAUUAUAUUAGCAGCACCCCAACUUGUUUGUACAAUGUCCACUCUUGCUCUGAGUUCACUCCCGGACUAGAAAAGAUGCCUCGUGAUUUGGUUGCCUAAGCCCUAGGGAACGAGUCAACGGGUCACACAAAAUAUGUCAUCUGAACCUAGAACCGUUAUGCAAAACACGCGACUUGAAGGUCCACAUGGACGGGAUGGGGUCGAUUAACAGAAAGUUCGAUGGUCGGUCAACGGAAUGUGUUUCAUCCUCGACGUCGCAGGGGUGCACUGCCGGCAGCUGGUUUCGUUCAGUGGUGUCUCCAAUCGUGCGCGAUCGAUGCAUCCAACUUGCCAAGAGCAAAUGGAUCGAAGGGACUCAAACUCCUCCUACCGGCUACCGCUCUUGUGUCUAUAGAGUCUCUCACUAAAACUCCUCUUAAAACUUAAAAUAUUCAUACUAUAAUCUUACUAUGUAUUUUAUAUUCAUGGAUGUCUUAAUAUAAUGCUACUUCAAACUAUUACAUAUGUCUAUUGUGAGUGAUUUAGUGAGAUUAUAUUGCUCUAGCGAUUUAAGUAAAGAACAGACUGCCACUAUCAUUUUGCUGGAGAUACAAGUUGAUGUAUACUUGUGCAACAUGAAGCCUUAACUUCUGCUCGGUCAAUGUUAUGUAAUAAAGAAGUGAAGAAAAGACUCGUUCCUAUUAAAACGCACGUCACGGCGCCCGCGUCCGCUGCUGCUGUCGCUUGGGCUGGGCUUGGUCUUGGGCAAGCCAAGGUAAAAGAGUUGUGUGGUCGGCCAGUGCAAGCAAAAAAACACCGACACCCAUGGCUAUCUGACUGAGCGCGUCCAUGUCCAGGUCCUGCACAUAGACCCUGGUCUUCGCUGAUCGGCUGCUGUUUAACCGUUGCACAAGCGCGCGGCGCAGCGUCAUAUCAUUUCCAGCGCCAACGUCGCCGGCUACGCCAUCUCCUCCACCACCGGCUCCAGUGCCGCCUAAAGCCUACGCCGUCUCCUCCUCCUCCAUCUCCAUCGCUCCCACCGACGCAACCUCCACCACCAAUGUCAUCGCCUCCUAUGUCUGUACGCUAUCCGCCUUCUCUCAAUGGUGUCCGGACAUCACUCGCGCCUCCGACAUCACAUUUGUCAUUGGCUCCACGUCCACCGCUCCGGUCAUCAGGAACACCAUCAAUAUCGUCAUGGUCCUCUAAGUCGUUAAGCAACGGCAUGGCGGUGGGCAUAGGCGCCGCCAUCGUGGCGCUGGUCAUGCUCGGCCUCGCCGCCGGGCUCGUCUACUGCUUCAUGGGAACGAAGCGAUGGAGGCGGUCGCCGCCGCCGUCUGAGGAGUUCCGAGGUACGUAUACGCGUAUGUACAGCUACCCGUACAAGUAAGUCGCCUUUGUUCUUGGCAUGCUGGCGAAUGGCGAUGAACAAGAGCAAUGUUUCGCAACUCGGGACGACGCCGAGCGCGGGUCCCCAACCCCAGCAUUAGCGUGGUGACCGUGGUCAGGCGGCGUGCUUGCGCUUGCGCCCCAUGGAUGGUGGGCGAGGUGUCUGCACUGCACGUAGCUGAAAUGGUGCGCCUUGGCGCCACUUUCGCUCUCUAGAGGCUGCUGGACUGACCGACCUCUCGGUGUUAGAAUCUAUACUGCCUAGGAUCGAUUCCUAAGUCCCUAGAAUACCAAUCCGUCUGUAACUGAAAGUAAAAUCUUGAUGACGUGUAGAUCUGAUCUACUAUCUACUGAGAGGAACGGGGAAACACACCUUUAUUGUUGUUGCUAUCUUCAUACCGUCGCCCUGCAGAGAAGCAGCAGGCAUCGGGAUCCGAGCCGCUGUAGGUUGUCGCGUUUCUAAACACUCCGACGUCUAGGCGAUGGGGCCUCUGAGGACUAGGGUUUUGGGGCGAGGUACUAGCGUUAGUUUUUCCUGCGACCCCUUAGUCCUAUAUAUAGCGUCGUGUGUCUGGGGGCUCCAACCGAGGUUAGUGUGGGCCCUCCCGAUCAAGGGCCCGAUUAAAGGAACGAUAGUUGGGUU
rnacentral:lncRNA from 1 species